UUUUUUCUUUUUCUUUUUUCUUUUCCUUUAUUUCUUUUCCAGCAAAAUACUAAAAAAGGUAUUAAUUGAAAAAAAGGGGAAAACUAAUAAAGAAAAGGUAAAAGGCAAAAGUUAAUUAUUG
rnacentral:ribozyme from 1 species